rnacentral:miRNA from 1 species
UGUGUGUGUGUGUGUGUGUGUGUGUGUGUGUGUGUGUGUGUGUGUUCUGGGGUCACUCGCCAAUGCUCAGAGAUCACUCCUGACUCCGCACUCAAG